rnacentral:sRNA from 1 species
GCUGGGCACAGUGGCACAUGCCUGAAAUCUCAGCUAUUUGGGAGGCUGAGGCAGGGGGAUCGCAAGUUCAAGACCAGCCUUGGAAACUUACUGAGAUCCUGUCUCAA